rnacentral:tRNA from 1 species
AUUUAAAUAUUUUAAUUAAAAUAUUAGUUUGUGGAACUGAUGAUAUGAAAAUUAUUUCAUUUUAAAUU